AACUUAAAGGAAUUGACGGAAGGGCACCACCAGGAGUGGAGCCUGCGGCUUAAUUUGACUCAACACGGGGAAACUCACCAGGUCCAGACACAAUAAGGAUUGACAGAUUGAGAGCUCUUUCUUGAUUUUGUGGGUGGUGGUGCAUGGCCGUUCUUAGUUGGUGGAGUGAUUUGUCUGCUUAAUUGCGAUAACGAACGAGACCUUAACCUACUAAAUAGUGCUGCUAGCUUUUGCUGGUAUAGUCACUUCUUAGAGGGACUAUCGAUUUCAAGUCGAUGGAAGUUUGAGGCAAUAACAGGUCUGUGAUGCCCUUAGACGUUCUGGGCCGCACGCGCGCUACACUGACGGAGCCAGCGAGUAUUAACCUUGGCCGAGAGGUCUGGGAAAUCUUGUGAAACUCCGUCGUGCUGGGGAUAGAGCAUUGUAAUUAUUGCUCUUCAACGAGGAAUUCCUAGUAAGCGCAAGUCAUCAGCUUGCGUUGAUUACGUCCCUGCCCUUUGUACACACCGCCCGUCGCUACUACCGAUUGAAUGGCUUAGUGAGGCCUCCGGAUUGGUUUAAAGAAGGGGGCAACUCCAUCUUGGAACCGAAAAGCUGGUCAAACUUGGUCAUUUAGAGGAAGUAAAAGUCGUAACAAGGUUUCCGUAGGUGAACCUGCGGA
rnacentral:rRNA from 1 species